UUGAAAGGGAAACGAUUGAAGUCAGUCGUGCUGGCGCGAAAUCAACCUUCUCGUCUUGAGAUCACAUGGCGUGGCGAGCCUCAAAACCGUCACGAAGCGUGAACUCUUGGUGAAAUGGAGCACUUUCGUGUCCGCUGGUUAACAUCAAUUUCGAACGUCAUAAAAAGGCUGGAGGGAUGUGGCUCCUUCGGGAGUGUUAUAACCUUUAGCGGAAUGUGGUGUUCGGGAUUGAGGAUUGCAACGAAUACCUUUAGGGCUGUUCCACCUGGCUUCUCUUUGGAAUCCUGGUGACGACAGCUUGCUGACGUCGUUAGGAUUCGCCUUUGAACAGGUUAGAGUGUGAGCAAAUUCGUUAAGGAUGUUGACGUA
rnacentral:rRNA from 1 species